CUUUGCACAUAAUAUGACAUUAAAUUCAUAUCCUUCAAUAGUUAUCCUGAAUGUAAAUGGGCUAAAUGCCCCAAUCAAAAGACAUAGG